rnacentral:rRNA from 1 species
AGUGAACGCUGGCGGUAGGCCUAACACAUGCAAGUCGAACGGCAGCACAGUAAGAGCUCGCUCUUACGGGUGGCGAGUGGCGGACGGGUGAGGAAUACAUCGGAAUCUACUUUUUCGUGGGGGAUAACGUAGGGAAACUUACGCUAAUACCGCAUACGACCUACGGGUGAAAGCAGGGGAUCUUCGGACCUUGCGCGAUUGAAUGAGCCGAUGUCGGAUAGCUAGUUGGCGGGGUAAAGGCCCACCAAGGCGACGAUCCGUAGCUGGUCUGAGAGGAUGAUCAGCCACACUGGAACUGAGACACGGUCCAGACUCCUACGGGAGGCAGCAGUGGGGAAUAUUGGACAAUGGGCGCAAGCCUGAUCCAGCCAUACCGCGUGGGUGAAGAAGGCCUUCGGGUUGUAAAGCCCUUUUGUUGGGAAAGAAAAGCAGCAGGUUAAUACCCCGCUGUUCUGACGGUACCCAAAGAAUAAGCACCGGCUAACUUCGUG